rnacentral:rRNA from 1 species
AACAUUUGGAAACAGAUGCUAAUACCGCAUAGAUCCAAGAACCGCAUGGUUCUUGGCUGAAAGAUGGCGUAAGCUAUCGCUUUUGGAUGGACCCGCGGCGUAUUAGCUAGUUGGUGAGGUAAUGGCUCACCAAGGCGAUGAUACGUAGCCGAACUGAGAGGUUGAUCGGCCACAUUGGGACUGAGACACGGCCCAAACUCCUACGGGAGGCAGCAGUAGGGAAUCUUCCACAAUGGACGCAAGUCUGAUGGAGCAACGCCGCGUGAGUGAAGAAGGCUUUCGGGUCGUAAAACUCUGUUGUUGGAGAAGAAUGGUCGGCAGAGUAACUGUUGUCGGCGUGACGGUAUCCAACCAGAAAGCCACGGCUAACUACGUGCCAGCAGCCGCGGUAAUACGUAGGUGGCAAGCGUUAUCCGGAUUUAUUGGGCGUAAAGCGAGCGCAGGCGGUUUUUUAAGUCUGAUGUGAAAGCCCUCGGCUUAACCGAGGAAGCGCAUCGGAAACUGGGAAACUUGAG